rnacentral:rRNA from 1 species
UACGGAGGGUGCAAGCGUUUGUCCGGAAUCACUGGGCGUAAAGGGCGCGUAGGCGGCUCAUGAAGGCUGUGGUGAAAGUCCGGGGCUCAACCUCGGAUCGGCCGUGGCGACUCGUGGGACUGGAGCACUGUAGAGGCGGGUGGAAUUCCGGGGUGUAGCGGAUGGAAUGCGUAGAGAUCCGGAAGAACACCAGUGGCGAAGGCGGCCCGCUGGGCAGUGGCUGACGCUGAGGCGCGACAGCGUGGGGAGCAAACAGG